GCGGCGUCGCCGUCGUCCCGGAGCGCCCCGAGCUGGCGCGGGCAUGGCCGCGGCAUGAGCUUGGAGCCGCCGCCGGAGCCGGAGGAGAAGGCGGCGUCGGAGCCUGAGGCGGGAGCCAUGCCGGAGAAGCGUGCGGGCGCGCAGGCCGCGGGGAGCAGCUGGCUACAAGGCUUUGGCCGACCAAGUGUGUACCAUGCUGCUAUUGUCAUCUUCCUUGAAUUCUUUGCGUGGGGCCUGUUGACAACUCCAAUGUUGAUUGUUCUACAUGAAACAUUUUCUCAACACACAUUCCUCAUGAAUGGUCUCAUUCAAGGUGUUAAGGGUCUAGCUCUCUUUUUUGAGUGCCCCACUCAUAGGUGCCCUGUCUGAUGUGUGGGGGAGGAAGCCCUUUCUUCUCGGCACUGUAUUCUUCACCUGCUUCCCAAUCCCGCUGAUGAGGAUCAGCCCAUGGUGGUAUUUUGCAAUGAUUUCUGUGUCUGGAGUCUUCUUGGUCACGUUCUCUGUUAUAUUUGCCUACGUAGCUGAUGUCACUCAGGAGCACGAGCGAAGUACAGCUUAUGGAUGGGUCUCAGCCACCUUUGCGGCUAGUCUUGUCAGCAGCCCAGCCAUUGGAGCAUAUCUUUCUGCCAGUUACGGAGACAGCCUCGUUGUGCUGGUGGCUACAGUGGUGGCUCUUCUGGACAUCUGCUUCAUCUUAGUGGCUGUUCCAGAAUCUCUGCCUGAGAAAAUGAGACCGGUUUCCUGGGGAGCUCAGAUUUCUUGGAAACAAGCGGACCCUUUUGCGUCGUUGAAGAAAGUUGGAAAAGAUUCUACUGUCUUACUAAUCUGCAUCACCGUGUUUCUUUCAUACCUUCCUGAAGCUGGACAGUAUUCAAGUUUUUUUCUCUAUCUUAGGCAGGUCAUAGGUUUUGGAUCUGUUAAAAUUGCAGCAUUCAUAGCUAUGGUAGGAAUUCUGUCUAUUGUGGCUCAGACGGCCUUUCUUAGCAUCUUGAUGAGAUCAUUAGGAAAUAAGAAUACUGUCCUCCUUGGCUUGGGCUUCCAGAUGCUCCAGUUAGCCUGGUACGGUUUCGGAUCACAGGCCUGGAUGAUGUGGGCAGCAGGGACCGUGGCCGUUAUGUCCAGCAUCACAUUUCCGGCAAUCAGUGCCCUCGUCUCUCGGAAUGCAGAGUCAGAUCAGCAAGGAGUUGCCCAAGGGAUCAUAACUGGAAUAAGAGGACUAUGCAAUGGCCUGGGGCCAGCACUGUAUGGCUUCAUAUUCUACAUGUUCCAUGUGGAACUGACUGAGUUGGGCCCGAAAUUGAAUUCUAACAACGUUCCCCUGCAGGGAGCUGUCAUCCCAGGCCCGCCGUUUUUAUUUGGGGCGUGUAUAGUCCUUGUGUCUUUUCUGGUUGCCUUAUUCAUUCCUGAAUACAGUAAAGCCAGUGGAGUUCAAACACACAGUAACAGCAGCGGCAGCCUGACUAACACCCCAGAACGGGGCAGUGAUGAGGACAUUGAACCACUGCUGCAAGGUAGCAGCAUCUGGGAGCUCUCUUCAUUUGAGGAGCCUGGAAAUCAGUGUACUGAGUUGUAAACUCGGCAGAAAGUGGGAUUCUGCAUACGCCAUCUCUGAGAGCCAUGGAGGGAGCCACACCCCUGGUGACUUCAUGGUGCUGGAUGGGAGAUGCUAGCGGCAUCCUUCAGGGCCAAGUUUGAUAAAUACCACCACCAUCGUUCUGCUCUUCCUCCUCCUGUUUUUUUUUUUUUUCUCUUAUAUUUUUUUCCUGUUUAUACAUUAGAAUAAGAUAAGAUUUGAAAUACUUCCCUGCAAAUAAUGUGCAACUCUCAAGGUGAAACUCAAAUAGAAAAAGUCAUCUCUCUGGUAGAAAGGAUGGCUUUCCUGUAAUGACUGUAGACGUGACAGCAGUCUUUCCAUGCCCUUUUCAGCAGAAAGGUACAGAACUAUAGUGGGACUGCCAUCUCUGGCAAGAUUUCAGGUAAAGAAUGUCUUCUUAACUUCUACCUUCCUGUUUCUCUGAAUCAGCCCAUAGGUGUUGAUGAGUGGCCACUGUUAAGAGUCACUCAGUAUCAGGGAUCUAUUGUCGUUGUUCAAAGGUCAAGUAAAAACCUAGUCUCCUUUUAUUCUACUUCCUAUUCUUGGCUAGAAUGAAACUCAGCAUAUAUACACUUCUGGACAUAAAUAAUAUUGAAUAGUAAUUACCUUUACUAGAUGAAAGAAAUUUUUAUUACAAACUUAAAUCAUGUAAAACUCACAACGCAGAUUCCUGGACCCGGUGUCCUGGUUGGGUCCGAGGUGAUUUUACAGAAGAAAAAAACAACUCAAGCAUUCUGGUGGCAACACAGAAAUUGUAGGCUGCUUCUAAGACAGUUAGUAACAAUUUGGAAAUUCCUAAGUAGGAUGAGAGUUAAUAACUGGAUACAAGUGAAGUUUAUAUCCAAGUUCAGACUCAUAGG